rnacentral:rRNA from 1 species
GACGAACGCUGGCGGCGUGCCUAAUACAUGCAAGUAGAACGCUGAAGGAGGAGCUUGCUCUUCUGGAUGAGUUGCGAACGGGUGAGUAACGCGUAGGUAACCUGCCUGGUAGCGGGGGAUAACUAUUGGAAACGAUAGCUAAUACCGCAUAACAGUAGAUGUUGCAUGACAUUUGCUUAAAAGGUGCAAUUGCAUCACUACCAGAUGGACCUGCGUUGUAUUAGCUAGUUGGUGGGGUAACGGCUCACCAAGGCGACGAUACAUAGCCGACCUGGGAGGGUGAUCGGCCACACUGGGACUGAGACACGGCCCAGACUACUACGGGAGGCAGCAGUAGGGAAUCUGCGGCAAUGGACGGAAGUCUGACCGAGCAACGCCGCGUGAGUGAAGAAGGUUUUCGGAUCGUAAAGCUCUGUUGUAAGAGAAGAACGAGUGUGAGAGUGGAAAGUUCACACUGUGACGGUAUCUUACCAGAAAGGGACGGCUAACUACGUG